rnacentral:rRNA from 1 species
UAGCUAGUUGGUGAGGUAAAGGCUUACCAAGGCGACGAUCUGUAGCGGGUCUGAGAGGAUGAUCCGCCACACUGGAACUGAGACACGGUCCAGACUCCUACGGGAGGCAGCAGUGGGGAAUUUUGGACAAUGGGGGCAACCCUGAUCCAGCCAUGCCGCGUGAGUGAAGAAGGCCUUCGGGUUGUAAAGCUCUUUCGGCCGGGAAGAAAUCGCAUGGGCCAAUACCCUGUGUGGAUGACGGUACCGGAAUAAGAAGCACCGGCUAACUACGUGCCAGCAGCCGCGGUAAUACGUAGGGUGCGAGCGUUAAUCGGAAUUACUGGGCGUAAAGCGUGCGCAGGCGGUUUUGUAAGACAGGCGUGAAAUCCCCGGGCUUAACCUGGGAACUGCGUUUGUGACUGCAAGGCUAGAGUACGGCAGAGGGGGGUGGAGUUCCACGUGUAGCAGUGAAAUGCGUAGAGAUGUGGAGGAACACCAAUGGCGAAGGCAGCCCCCUGGGUCGAUACUGACGCUCAUGCACGAAAGCGUGGGUAGCAAACAGGAUUAGAUACCCUGGUAGUCCACGCCCUAAACUAUGUCAACUAGGUGUUGGGUGGGUAAAGCCAUUUAGUACCGUAGCUAACGCGUGAAGUUGACCGCCUGGGGAGUACGGCCGCAAGGUUAAAACUCAAAGGAAUUGACGGGGACCCGCACAAGCGGUGGAUGAUGUGGAUUAAUUCGAUGCAACGCGAAAAACCUUACCUACCCUUGACAUGCCAGGAACUUGCCAGAGAUGGCUUGGUGCCCGAAAGGGAGCCUGGACACAGGUGCUGCAUGGCUGUCGUCAGCUCGUGUCGUGAGAUGUUGGGUUAAGUCCCGCAACGAGCGCAACCCUUGUCGUUAAUUGCCAUCAUUUAGUUGGGCACUUUAACGAGACUGCCGGUGACAAACCGGAGGAAGGUGGGGAUGACGUCAAGUCCUCAUGGCCCUUAUGGGUAGGGCUUCACACGUCAUACAAUGGUCGGUACAAAGGGUUGCCAAGCCGCGAGGCGGAGCCAAUCCCAGAAAGCCGAUCGUAGUCCGGAUUGCAGGCUGCAACUCGCCUGCAUGAAGUCGGAAUCGCUAGUAAUCGUGGAUCAGCAUGUCACGGUGAAUACGUUCCCGGGUCUUGUACACACCGCCCGUCACACCAUGGGAGCGGGUUCCGCCAGAAGUAGGUAGCCUAACCGCAAGGGGGGCGCUUACCACGGCGGGGUUCGUGACUGGGGUGAAGUCGAAACAAGGUAGCCGUAGGGGAACCUGCGGCUG